GUCCGCGUAGCUCAGCUGGAUAGAGCAAUCGCCUUCUAAGCGAUCGGUCACAGGUUCGAAUCCUGUCGUGGACGCCA
rnacentral:tRNA from 1 species